UUCUUUACAUAAAACAUAACUUCUGGAUUACCAGCGAAGCUAACAUAUAACCAUUUAGUCGAGCACAAAUGGCCAGAAGGAGAUUGACCUUCCGUUUUUAUAAUCCAAUGCGGAGGUGCUUUGUGUUGAAAGACCGAGUGCCUGUGAUAGUAUUGGUUCGCUUAAUGGAUACAAAC
rfam:Pichia sorbitophila strain CBS 7064 chromosome H complete sequence.